rnacentral:rRNA from 1 species
GAAAGUGCCUAAAGACGAGCUCGCGCCUGAUUAGCUAGUUGGUGGGGUAAAGGCCUACCAAGGCGACGAUCAGUAGCUGGUUUGAGAGAAUGAUCAGCCACACUGGAACUGAGACACGGUCCAGACUCCUGCGGGAGGCAGCAGUGGGGAAUUUUCCGCAAUGGGCGAAAGCCUGACGGAGCAAUACCGCGUGAGGGAUUAAGGCCUGUGGGUUGUAAACCUCUUUUCUCAAGGAAGAAUCAAUGACGGUACUUGAGGAAUAAGCAUCGGCUAACUCCGUGCCAGCAGCCGCGGUAAUACGGGGGAUGCAAGCGUUAUCCGGAAUUAUUGGGCGUAAAGCGUCUGUAGGUUGUUUAAUAAGUCUGUUGUUAAAGACUGGGGCUUAACCCCAGGAAAGCAAUAGAAACUGUUAGGCUAGAGUGUGGUAGAGGUAGAGGGAAUUCCUAGUGUAGCGGUGAAAUGCGUAGAUAUUAGGAAGAACACCGGUGGCGAAAGCGCUCUGCUGGGCCAUAACUGACACUCAGAGACGAAAGCUAGGGUAGCAAAUGGGAUUAGAUACCCCAGUAGUCCUAGCCGUAAACGAUGGAUACUAGAUGUUGCGUAACUCGAUUAUGCAGUGUUGUAGCUAACGCGUUAAGUAUCCCGCCUGGGGAGUACACUCGCAAGGGUGAAACUCAAAGGAAUUGACGGGGGCCCGCACAAGCGGUGGAGCAUGUGGUUUAAUUUGAUGCAACGCGAAGAACCUUACCAAGGCUUGACAUGUCACGAAUCUUUUUGAGAAGAAAGAGUGCCCUCGGGAACGUGAACACAGGUGGUGCAUGGCUGUCGUCAGCUCGUGUCGUGAGAUGUUGGGUUAAGUCCCGCAACGAGCGCAACCCUUGUCUUUAGUUACCAUCAUUUAGUUGGGGACUCUAGAGAGACUGCCGGUGACAAACCGGAGGAAGGUGAGGACGACGUCAAGUCAGCAUGCCCCUUAUGCCUUGGGCUACACACGUGCUACAAUGGCUAAGACAAAGAGCAGCAAGCUUGUGAAAGUUAGCAAAUCUCGUAAACUU